rnacentral:RNase_P_RNA from 1 species
GCGUACAACCGGGCGUGGCCUCUUUGGCUUCGGCUAGAGGGGAGGAAAGUCCGGACAGCAGAGUAGACGGUGCCUCAUGAAAAUGAGGGCUUUGACAGUUAGAGCAACAGUGACGAAUCGGGUGGCGCCGAAUGAAACGAUCAAGCUUCUGGAUAUUUUUUAUUUGUGGUUUACCAUAGAUAAAAAAUGGCAAUCCUCCCGGCUGCAACGAACGAAUUUGACCUCAUUGAAACUACUCUCUAUCUCUUUGCUUGCAAAGAAAGGUCAUAAAGAUUUCGGCAUUAGAUAAAUCACUCCUAAAACAGAAUCCGGCUUAUGGGUUGUACGCUCUU